AUUGUAUAUAUCUACUGUAGUGGAUGCAUCCAUAGUAUUUAAAUUUUAUAUUAGAAGCUCUCAUAUUUAUAUUUAAUUUGUUAAAUAUUAUAUAUAAUACUUAAAAACGAGCACAUACAUAGUUUAAUUAUAUAUUACCGCUUAGAUUAGUUGGUAUCUUAAUUACAUGAUAGUAAUAUAGUAGAUAUAAGGCUGUGAUUGGGUUCUAGCUCUAAGCAAAAGAAUACGUGUCGGAUCAACAUAUAUUUUAAAUUUUAAUUUCAAUAUAUUUUGAUGUUUGCUAGUUAAUAGCUAGAUUUAUUUUUUUUUUGAGAAAUAGGUAGCAAGCUACCUGCUUCAUUCAUUAAGCAAAAUAAACUAAGCGUACAAAAUGGAAGCAGCCAGGGCCUCCGAAAGAACAGGCAAAAAGGAUGAAAUAAAAUUGAAAGGCAGAAAGAAAACAAAAAGAACAAAAAAAAGGAAAAAAGGAAGGGUGUUAAUAGGGAGAGAAGGGAUAGUAGCUGGAGCCGAAACAACACAUCACAGCAAAGAGUUCCAGUCGUUUAGCAGAAGUUUGACACGUUCAAGAGACCGGGUAGCGUUGUGCGUGGUUCCUCGGAAAAUUGCGUUAUUUCUAUCUGUCCAGAUCACCCACCAAGUUGCAGCGAGGAGGGUCAAGCGUCGUGUUCUUGAAGAGUCGACCGGAAUGUCACACGAUCCAGUCCAGAGAGUGUUGACGUCGCCCGUGCUGUCAUCAAAUGUACCCCAUCCUUUCAUACUGAAGAGCAGGUAUCUUACAUAUACGCAUGUAUAGAAUAGAUGGUCACAGCUUUCCAUGAGUACCGCGCAGAAGACACAGUGCUGAUCAACGAGCAUUCCACGUUUGAGUAGUCUAUCAGCAGUGAGUAAUCUCUUCCGCAAUAGCAACCAAAUGAAGACUUUGAUUUUGGCCGGAAUUUUGAGUUUCCAGAUAUACCGAUUCGUUGGGAUAUACUGUCCCGUGUCUGUGAUGAACUGGUAGAGGGAUUUGACAGUGAACAGUUGAUUGGAGGUCCAUCUCCAUUUAAUUGAGUCUGGACUGUCGUAGGGGCGAUGGCCUCGGAGCAAGUCUUUAAAAGUCGUUAACUGUCUGCGGUUUUCGAUGGAUUGUGACGCCGAGUAGCCGCGGCAUAUAAAGCGCCAUCUCCAUCCGCCGUGGUUCCAGCACUGAGAAACCCGAGCCUCCUUGUUCAUAGAGAUCUGAUAGAUAUCCGGGAAACGAGUGCGAAGGGGGGUUUCCCCUAUCCAGAUGUCAUUCCACAUCCUAAUGUUCCUCCCGUCGCCUAGCUCGUAAGUCACGCCACAGGCGAAAAUGUCUCGACACCGGACCACACCUUUAUUUUUUUCACAAAUUUAACACUAUUAGUUUUUACAACUAUUUACUAUUUGGAUAGGAAAAUUUUAAAAGUAACUCAUUAAAGGUUAGUAGAACAUUAUUUGUCCUCUAAGUACAAGAUCCUUUAAUCGGCGAUCGACAUGUCCCAUUAAUCAAGCGGUCCCCAUGGGACAUGGUGAAUCAAAUAACAUGGAAUCAUAUAGAGACAUACGUAUAGCUUCUGAUUACGUGUGAGAUAUUUGGACCAUGUUGAGAUUGGCUGUAGCAUUUCCACGUCACUAUGAUCUUGUUCCACACGUCUUUUUACAAAGUUGUAGGGCCAAAAGAGUGGGAAUCUACUACAGGUCAUCAAACCUAAUAGUCUUUUGCAAAGUAGAUGCUAACUAAUAAUACAUCAAUUAUAUAGACCUUUGUUUAGACUUGGCAAAUGGGCGAGUUGGAUAAUUUACGGGUGGGUCAUUGUACUAACGGAUUACUUGGACAUGGGUAAAAUUACCAUAAAUUUUUGGAUAGCCAAUAUCUUUACCCAUACCUAGCUGCGGGUGGGCAGCUGGGUAUGCGUUUUACCUGCAAUUUUUUUUNUUUCUCUUAUAUUUUUUAAAUGCAAAACACACACACACACACACACACACAUAUAUAUAUAUUAAAAGCAUAACAUAACUCAUUAUUUAAAAUAUUAUAACUUACAAUAAAAAUAUGUAAAGUUUUAAAACAAAAAUAUUUCAUAAUAUAAAAGACACACGGUAAUAAAUUAGGGUUAAAAUUUUUAAAAUGGAUAAAUAAAAAAAUAUUUUUUAAUUACAAAAUAUAUGUGCGGGUAUCCGUGGAUACCUGCGGGUUAUCAAAAAUAUUCAUAGCUUAAUGGGUGCCCACCUGUUUUACUUGUAAUUUUUUAGGUUGAAAAAGUUGGUAUUCAUACUUGCAAAUUUGCGGGUAAUCUGCGGACACCUGCGGGUAUGGGUCGAGAUUGCCAAGUCUACCUGUGUUGGAAAAUAAUACAAAUUAACCCAAAAUGUUAGUAGUCCGUGCAACAAUAUGAUAUGUUGUUGUAAGUGUAUGAAAUUAGUGCACUGAUCAAAUUAGUUUAGAAACUCAUAUGCAAUAGUAGGUUUAGUUAUUAUCUAGAUUUGUGGAAAUUAAUUAAUAGUAGACUAGUGAUUGAUUUGUGGAAAUAGUGGCUUGGUAAGUGAAGUUCAUGAUGGAGUGAGGUUUUCGAAACUUACGCGCAAUAGUGGGUUUAACGGAGAAAAUUAAUGUGUUGAACGAAAUUUUCUUUGCAAUUUUGUUCUUCAAUUUGUAAUCAUGUUGCUUUCUAGUGUGUUAAAAAAAUUACUUCUUCUAUUCCAUUGUCUUUAUGUACUGUAGCAAUUAAUCUACUAUUUUCUACUUAACUUUUUCUUCCACCACCAACCUGAUCAUAUACUCUAACAAAUUUUGUUUUAAAUUGAUAAUUAAAUAUUAAAUUUGGUCACUAUUAAUCAGUAAUUGAAUAUAACUAAAUCAAACAAAUCUGAUUUAUUCAUAUUAAAAACAGUUUUAUCAAUGUCACUUCCUAUUUAAGAAAGAUCGACUGAUCAAUACUAAAGGGGGGAAUUGGGUCCAUACAGUCCCUUAAUUUUUAUUCUAUUUAACAAAUUAACAAAUGCGUUUGCCUUUUUUAGCUUUGGAUAUGUGGAAAAGCACAUGAGCGGGUAUAUUAGUUAGCAAAGCAAGAGUGGGCGGAAUUUAAUUAAUGCACACCACAUAUAAUUAUGUGAAGCUUGAAAUCUUAGAUUAUCAGUGAAGUAGUUGUCUUGUUGUUUUCUAAUUAAUCAACACAACCAACCUAUUUUUAAGCAGGAAUAGUGCUAGUGAUUGAUGUGAAUUAACAUGAAGGAUUCGCUAAGCAAUUGCUAUGCGAAUUCCACUUAUUAUGGUAGCUAUGAGUAUUCAUUAUCUCAAUUUGACAAGGAGAGAUAUAUAACUAAAUAGUGAUAUAGUUGGCAAUGCAUGAAGAAUUAACUAGUUAAGGUACUCGUAAAUUGAUGCAUGCAAUGUAUGAAGAAUUAACUAGUUAAGGUACUAGUAGAUUGAUGCAUGCAAUCCUUCGAAAAUUUACUCUCAACACACUAAACCAUAAGUUAACAUGUAAUCUACAUAUAAGCGCGCACACAUAUAUAGAGUCGGACUCUCUCUCUCUCUCUCUCUCUCUCUCUCGAUCUAUAUAUACAUGUUUAUACUAAGUGAUCUUAAUUAUAUGGGUUCCAUUAAUUUGUACUUUCAAAAACUUUAUCCCUGCGUACACGUUUCUCUGUGGGAGACCUUUUAGUUCAAAAUCAAUGUGAAUUGGGUGGCUUCCCUGCUUAUAGUAAAGGAUUUUUUCAUGAAUUAAUACAAUUUUAAAUAAGCGCAUGCAUCUAGCUAGUACAUUAGUAGAACCCAAAGUAGCUGAAAAUUAAACAACAUGAUAACAAAAACACUGAUUAAUUGUUCCUAUCAUAUAUAAGUAUCAAAGAGCUUGAUAAUUGGUACCUGAAAUAUCAAAUUUAAAAUUUAAUUACUUCACAUUUAACUAAGUUCAUUUCUUAAAAAUAUAAACAAAGAAUGUAGCAUAUACUUCCAUUCUCUCCCCCUCCCUCCCCCUCCCCAAAAAGAAGAAAACCAAAAAAAAAAAAAAACAAGAUAACAAAAACAACAUAUAUUAAUUGAUCCAAGUAUGGUCUCUUUCCUGGAAACAUAAGGCAAGUGAGUAGGAUAUAUGUCUUUCCCCGAAUCUCUCGAUAUACGGGAGAUUAUAUUCUCCAUUUCAUGAUUUCUUUUUUUUAUAAUAUUUGUGGAUGCUUAUUCUGACAAUCCUUUCCACAAUCCUUUACGGCAAUCGAUUGCCCAACUUGUCCCNUGAAAGAAAGUGAUUCUAGCACAAGCGUGGGAUCGACACAAUGCAAUCAUGGAGCAAAUGGAGCCCAGUCUUAAUUUGGAUUUUGAUGCCUAUUGGUGAUUCACAGGCCCAAGUAAAGAAGUUUUUCCUAUUAUUUGGGGGUUGUAAUGUCAAAGAUUCUUUUUGGUUGUUGUGGUUGUUGUGAAUUAUAUAUAUAUAUAUAUAUAUAUAUAUAUUUUUUUUUUGAGAGAUAGAUAGGAUGUUAUACGCUUCGUUUAUUUUAUUUAGAAAUAAACUUAGCUGAAAAUGUGAAUGAACUAGGAUUCGAAUUUAGAACUUCGGGUACCAAUCAUCAAGUCCUUUAUCACUUGCAUUAAGAACAGUCGGUUAUACAUGUUUGUAAUUGAUCAACAAAAUGUUGAACACCUAGCUAAUUGAAGAUUCGUUUAUUCAAAUAGGAAUAGGAAUUGGAAUCGGAAUCGAAAUCAAAAUAAGUUGGAAUCGGAAUCGGAAUGACUCAUUACUUAAUUCUAUUUGGUUUAUCACCUGAAUCGGAAUCGGAAUAAAUCAUUCCCAUUGUCGGUAUUUGGUUCAGGUGGAUAUAAAAAACGUAAUCAAAUUAAUAUACUAAUAUUGUCUUUAUAAUAUAUUAAUUUAAAUUCAAAUUAAAAAUUAAAUAUUAAAACUUUACAUCAAAAUUUUGAAAUAAUGUCAAAAUUUUAAAUCUAUUCUUUUAAAAAAAAUUUAAACUUUGAAGUUGAGUGGAUAAUUCAAAAUAUGAAACUAAAUUUUGAUUUAUCCAAAUUCAAACUUAAAAUUACAAUUUAAAAUUUAAUUUGAAUCCAUAAAUUUAAUUUAAGUUUGAAAUAAAAUUUGAAUAAAACUUUAUAUAAAUUAAAAUUUAAUUUAAAUUCAAAUUCAUAAGUUAGAUUCGAAAUACUUAAUUAAAUUUUAAUUUUUAAUUUAAGUUCAAAUUAAAAUUUAAAAUUAUAUAUUUAAUUUUUAAAUUUUAGCUCAUAGUUUAAUUAAAAAAGUUGAAAAAAUAAAUUUAAUCGGAAUAAAUAUCCAUUCCGUCCGGAUUCAACUUCCAAUCCGAUUUCCUAGGCCGGAUUGAAAAUAGAGGUGAUUGGGGAAUUCCCAUUCCACUCAGGAAUCGGAAUCGGAAUGGGACUCCCGCGUACCAAACACCCACAAACGGAUUCACCUAUUCCGAUUCCGAUUCCAGAGUGAAAAAGAAGCGAACCAAACACGCCCAUAUGCUAUUGAGGUACUGUUUUAUUAAAGAAGACACAUAUAUAGCUAGGGCAUAAUGGUAUAUACUAGGAUGUAAAUGGUCAAAGUUAUUUGUGUUAAGCUGUACUUGUGCAGGAGUAAGGUACAUUAAAUCUAGUCAAAUUUAUCACUCUGAGUAACGGUUAUAAGGUUCAAUGCAUUUUAAUAUUGUCCAUAACAAAUUUAACUCUGUUAAUCUUAUUAUCUUAGAAAAAAUUGUAGAAAUUUCUUGGUACGUUAAAGGAUAAUCUUCGCUGAGUCAUAUGACUUCUGGAGUACGUAGCUUUAAUUUGUAUCUAACACAAAAGUAGUCAACAAAUGAAGCCUUAGGAGUUUUUAAAUAUGAUGGAUCAUGUAUGAAAUAAACUUCUCAAUCUUACAAAGAGAAGCUUCAAUUUGAAGAUUUAGUUUCUUUUAUGAGAAUUGUUAAAGAUUCUCUUUCAAAUUUGAACAAAAAUGCUUUUGGCAGUUAUUUGAUUAGGUUUUUAUUGAAUAAAUUUACAAGAAAAAGCACUUCGAUCGACAAAGAAAAGCAAAAAAACAUUUUGUUGUGAAGUUUUAGUAUAUAUGUACCACAUACACCAUUAUUUAUUGACAUGUCCGGCCAUUAAGUUGGUCACACUGAUAUUAUUCUGAUUAGCCCGUUUAAUUAGGUUUUGAUCUUACUAUGAAGAUUAAUUUCAUAAUCAAAAUUCAUAGAGCAUGUAGGGUACAACUUUACUAGACAAGUUGAAUAUACAAAGAGGAACAUAUAUAUAUAAGAAGACCAAAUCUUACCACACAGACCAAAAAGUUAUAGAGAAUAUCACAUUUGGUAUUAAAGAAAAAUAAUUGCAUGACUACCUGUAGUAUUCAAUAUAUCGUUCUUAUCUAUCGAUGAAGAUCAUUGCUAUAUUUAGGAGAUUCUCAUACCAGAUAAUUUAGAAGGUAAUAGUGACCUUGAAGAACAAUAAAUUAAGGUGUGUUACUAGAAAAUGAAAAAGAUUUGCUCUGCAAAUCGAGGUCUAUUAAAAUUAUUGGAUUUACCACCAUGGUUUGAAAGUGAUCCUAUGAGAAUGAAAGGUUUGACGUAUUCUUGAUUGAGCUCUAACAUCGAACUAACGCGCUAUUUUUAAGUUAAGUUUACUAUACUAACGAGCAGUUUACACAUCUGUAAAAUUAUUAGGUAUAUUGAAUGAUUCAAGCAUUAAUCUAUACACAUUUAUCUAUUACAUAUAAUGAAUCCUUAGUUUUUACAGGGGUAGCGCGAACGGGAGUGGGGUGGGGUGGGCACACCCCUUUUUUAAUUUUUUAUUUUAUUUUAUUUUCUCUCUUUCUAUUGAUUUGGAGAAGCGGACUUUUUUUGUUUAAUCCAAUUUAAUUUUUCUCUCUGGUUAUAAAAAUUUAAAAUAUAUAAUUAUUUAUGUAUAUUUUUAAAUAGUUUACAUUGCAUGUACUAAAUAUAAAUUUUACUUUUAUAAUAUUGAUCACUUAGAUAUAGAUUGUACAAUAAAAAAUAAAAAAAAGAUGGAUAGAGUUUGAAUUAAUUACUUAUUUAAUAAAUUUAGUCGUAAAAAUUACAUGAAGUACUAAUUAAAUCUGUAAAACUAAACGACGCAUUCAAAAUUUGAAAUCAAAGUAUCAUGAACUGAUGCAAAUCUAACAUAUAAAAAUGUUAGAUAGUAAAAAUAAAAUCUUGAAAGGUUGGAUAACUGAUUUAAAAUAGUUUAUCGUUCAGAAAAGUUCUGUACGUUUUUACUUUGAUUUUAAUGUCAAACUUAGUAUCAUAUUUAUAGUUUGAUGAGCGAUCAAUUUCACAUUUAAAAUAGUUUAGAAUAUCCAAAAUAUAAUUAGUCGAUUUUUAAUUUUAACAAUUGAGUGUUCUAAAAUUUAUUAGAUAGUUUAACAUAUUUUUUUCUCAAAUAAAAUUACUAAUUGAAUACAACCGAUCGAUACUCAAUUCUGUCUUUUUUUUAAAUAAAAUUAAAAUAUAAAAAGAAUUUAAUGACUUAUAUUUUCUUGCUCAAAGUAUGAGACACGUGAAGCUUUAGUUCUUAAACUUUAAUGAGUUGCAAUUUCAGACUUACUAAGUAAUUCUUUUUUAUCCUUUUUAUAUUUUUAUUCUUAUACUUUUACUGCAACAGCUGUUCUUUUUUAUAAUUUUUUAACAUUUAUUUGUUUCUAUGGAAUCGACUGUCGUACAGUGCGGAUACCUUCACUAGUAUAGUUUAAGUAUCCGACGAAAUCGAUGACGGGUUCGGCCACCACACUUCCACUAAGAAAAACAUUGUAGCUCACAUUUGUUUAGCUUGGACUCGUUUUUAGUUAGGAGGAUUAGGUCCAUUAAUUGAACCUCUUUAUACAAACAUUCAAAGCCCAAUAAUCACUUGCACAUAAAAUCAUUCUAGAGUAAGAUCUGAUAAUGCAAAAUUUGUCAAAUCACCCAUGCAUUUGAAGGGUAAUGAUUGUUCCUUUCCCUCUUUGGUAUGACAAUUAGGUGAUCCGCGUACCUGAUCAUUUGCGUCCACUCGAAUUUGUGUACAUUUAAAGGAAAAUUGCAGCUUUAGAGGAGAAAGAUGAAUAGAUCUCAUGUGACCCAACUCGACAGGACCCCACCCAGUUAGACACAAUCACUGAGUAAGGAUUCGGCACCCACGCGCAAAGGACCCAACAUUGUCCUCCUCUCUCUUUUCAUUGUCCGACAACAAUUAAGUUUUAACUAAAGAAGAUCGCAAAGUGACUGUUGUUAAAAGCAGAAGCCGAAAUAUAUAGUUCUGCGUAUACAUUUAGUACCCGUGCUACGUACACAUGAUCAUUUCCUAUUUAUGUCCAAGAAGGGUUCCAAUUAAUAUUUUUCGACAACUUAUUUGGUGCUUUAUGAAUGAAACUUCCAUAUUCCCCUUUUUUUUUAAAAAAAAAUGCGUAAUUAACAUCGUAUUUGACAAAGUUUCUUAAUUACUCAUUUGCUAAAAAUAAUUUAAAUCAAAACACAUGUAACUUAUUAGAUUGGUGAAUAGAUAUACAAAUACAAUAAACACAAACUAUCUACAAGUUUUGUUGAUUGGAUGGCAUGUUACGCGCUAGCACUAUUCGCUUAAAGUAUUAUUUGAUCAGUACUGUGAGAAAAAAGUAUUAUAUUAAAUAAUUUUUAAGAGGAAUUUUCUAUUUUUCACAUUUAGAAUAUUUGUUUCGAUUUUAAUUUUGUUGCGUGGAGUUGUAUUAAUUUAAAGGUUUGAAAAGAGAUAUAAAAAUGCAGUCAAAUAGGUUCUUUGGGAACUAUACAUGACAACGAUAGGUGAAUGUCAAACUCUUUUAUAAAAUAAUUUAUGAGUUACUUAUUUUUCUCAAUCUGAAAGUGGUGACUUAUAAACUAUAAACUUUAUGGGUUGACUAUCAUAAAGUCAAAUUAAGUGAUAUAGCUAUAAAUUAACUUGUUUCCAAACUAUAAACAAAUUAGGUGUCAACAACUAAUUAGUGCUAGGGAUCUCAAAAAAAAAAAAAAAAAAAGUCGGUUCUUUUUUUUUUUUCCAAAGUUAAUUGUUAAUUAGGGCAUAAUCCUAUUAAAUUAUUAAAGAAUUAAAGAAGAGUACAAAAAAGAUUCUCCAAUCCAUAAUAAAACUCGAUUUUGAAGAUAUUGUGCCCGUUGAGUGUUGGAGAAUUAGUAGUAUAUAUUACCACAUACAUGCAUGCUUUGAGCCUUUGACAUACACCUGUGCAGUACAAUUGCAUUUCGCUACAUUAAUUAAUGAAAUCUUUGAUUAGAGGAGAUGAUAUUGUAGGAGAUGCAUACUUUUUAGGAACAAAUCAAAUUUAUAUAUUAAUUUGACCAAAAAUCAGUGAAUAAUGAUCAAAUUUAAUAAAUUUAUUUAGUUAAUAAUAAGUUUUAAUGUGUUAAUACUAACACCAUUUAGUUAGGUAUCGCACAAAUCCGAAUAGUUGAAUGUGUUGAAUAUAAAUAUUUAAAUUUCCAUUCUCUCAUUGCUUAAGUUUUUGAAAAAUAAAUAAUACUUGUUUUAUAUGAUUUAACAUGAUAUCAGAUCAGGGGAUUAUGAGCUUGAAUCUCACUUACUUUAAGCCCAAUUAUUUUAUAUAAUAUAACAAAAUUAUCGAUUAAUUAUUAAGCACCACAUUACAAAGCUGACUCCAUUAUAUAUAAUUGGGGUAUAUUUUGAGAUACCUAUUCAAUUCGCACCUGCACCAAACCCAACUCAGGAAAUGGAUUAGUUUCUCAUUGACCAGAUUAAAAUUUUCUCAUUGACAAAAUUAAAAUUUAAAACCCAUGAAUAUUAAAUAAAGCUCGAUUAUUCUCAUAAGAUUCCUCAACCAACUACCAACGAAAAUACUCCCCCUGCAUAUUUGGAAAGGAAAACUUCAAACAUGUCCUACGAAUCAACUAAAACAUGUUUAGUUAUGAAAAACUUCAUGGCUUACCAUUUUCUGUACGUUGGGGCAGUUGCCCGUGGCCCACAAGAUGGAAAUUUGUUCUGUGUAUUUUGAUGGUCUAAUGUUUAAUUUCUUUUGAUUCAUUUUCUAUUAGGAAAAGAAAAUGCUUCGUCAUUCGAUCAUUUUUAUUAGCUGCCUAUUAUUUAGGCUCAGUGUAUUCAAUAUUCAUACAUCCAUACACCAUAUUAUUAUCUUGCCGUCGUCUGUAAUUCAAAAUAUCAGCUUUAUACGAAGCAAUUAAUCCAGAUGUAGUCUUAACAGAAUAGCUUGCGUGUAAGUUAAAAGUCACAGUCAUGGAUACAUGAAAUUAAUCGAAUGCAAAAUCUCUUAAAAGUUAAAACUGAGGGAUCAAAACCAACCUCAUAUCGUACUAUAAGAAAUUGUGCAGCGCUAAUUCUAAUACUAUACUUUUCUUAUUCAUUGCUCUUUUUCUUACAGAGAAAUAUAUCAUGCUAUUCGUUUUGUUUAUUCUUCUAAAAAAAAUAAAUUUGAUUUAAAAUGUGAAACAAUUAAGUUUUAUAUUUGAAACAUUGAAUACCAGCUGCUAUCAAUCUCUUUGAUACAUGCGCUAAUUAAGGGAGUUCGAUUCUUUCGUACUUUUCAAUCCCUACCGCGUACACACUAAAAAUUGCUAAAGUUUUUUUUUUUGGUUUUUUGGUUUUUUUUUUGGUUUUGACUUAAAAUUAAAUAGUGAGAAACUGGUAAUAAAGUGUACGAAUACACGGAUACACCGAGCGCAUGCGAUAAUUUCCUUAUUCCUAACAUAGGAUAGGAUCUUUGAGCACGUCCCCCGUAUCUUUGUAAUCUACAAAUGCUUGGCCCGAAACGACGUCCGCAUAAACCAACCCCAGGAUUUUCUCUGCACCCCACCAAGAUCUCUUCCUCUCUCCCACACUAUUUAUUAACACUCCCCCCCUCCUCCUCCCUUUCGAAAAUUAACCCAUACAACAGAAGCUAGCUAAUCCCAAAUUAAACCAAUGGCUUUCUCUCCCAUCUCCUGUUUCCUUAAGGUCACCUUCCUCGUCGCCAGCCUCAUCUCCAUCGUCGGCCAACUCCGGCCGCCGUGGCCCCGGUCGCUGCCCGACGACCUCCUCGCCCUCGACAUCGCCCCCCGAAUCCGCACCGACCCCGCCGCCGCCGCGCUCGCCUCCGCCGACUUCGGCAACCUCACCGCCGGCCGGCCGCCGCCUGCCGCCGUGCUGUAUCCGUCGUCGGCGGGCGACAUUGCCGCGCUGGUCCGAUCCUCGUACGCGUCCCCGCGGCCGUUCCCGAUAUCGGCCCGCGGGCACGGGCACUCGCUGCGAGGCCAGGCGACGGCCCCGGGCGGCGUGGUGGUCGAGAUGGCGGCGCUGGGGAUCGGGCGGUCGGAUCGGAUUAAUGUGUCGGCGGGGAGCAGCUGUGGGGGGACGUGCUGCGGGCGGCGCUGCGGCACGGGCUGGCGCCGCGCUCCUGGACAGACUACCUGCACCUCACCGUCGGCGGCACGCUCUCCAACGCCGGGAUCAGCGGCCAGGCGUUCCGCCACGGCCCGCAGAUCUCCAACGUGCUUGAAUUGGACGUGAUCACCGGUACGACCACACUGCUAGCUAGCUAUUUUUAUUAUCUCCUCACUUUUAUUAUAAAUAAAUUAGUCCAAUAUUAGUUAUAAACGUCACAUGUAGGUCGAUAGUUACCAGUUGCAGGAGAAUUAUCGCCUGCACCCGGUGCAUCCGUAUAUCUCGUGCUUCAGUUUAUUUAUUUAUUUAACCAUUAAUUAAACUAUUAAAUAAAAUAAAAAUGCUGCAUUUACGAACAUAGGAGGAUUUUGAGAUUUGUGAAUUUUGAGUUUUGACUAUCAAAAUUGUAUCCAAUGCCUACUAAUUAAUUAAUUAAUUAAUUAAUUAAUAGACGAUGGUGCACGGAAUGUACAAAUACACCGGGUGCAUCUAAGUAAUAGAAAGUCCCCAUAAUUUUAGCACCCACGUAACCACGUUCGCUCUCGCCGCUAAUGACCACGUCGGCACAUGCGCGUAACACAGGAACGGGCGAGACGAUCACGUGCUCCAGGGACCUGAACCCGGACCUGUUCUACGCCGUGUCAGGCGGGCUGGGCCAGUUCGGGAUCAUAAUCCGGGCCCGAAUUGCACUGGACCCUGCCCCCAGCAUGGUCCGGUGGGCCCGGCUCAUCUACACCGACGCCGCCGCGUUCACCGUGGACCAGGAGCGGCUCAUAUCCCCCAGGCUCGGCGGCGCCGGCGCCUCUCGGCUUCAGCUUGACUACGUGGAGGGCUCGAUCAUCGCCGACCACAGUCUCAUCGGGAGCUGGCGAUCAUCGUCCUUCUUCUCCGAGCCAGAUAUCGUGCGGAUAAGCGCGCUCGCAACUCGCCGUGCCGUCCGUACCGUGUACUGCAUCGAAGCUGCCAUUUACUACGAUGACAUGACCUCAGCUUCGGUCGAUCAGGUAAAAAUAAAUAAAAUUACUCUUGAUCUAUGUUAUCACUGUAGUAACAUUUUUAAGUUAAUUUACAUACGCACACGUUAAAAAUACUAAUAUUAUAUAAAUUCGUAAGAGUUAAAAAAUGGCAUACGUAAAUUGAUGCUUGGCUCCCAUAUCGUAAUAAAGAUCUCGUGUCUCUUUUCAUAGGACCCACGUGAUUCGGUCCACAGCGAGAGAUCCUCGUGUGUGCGCGUCCCCAAACAACCCGAAAUGGAAACUUUGGUCGUAAAUUUGAACUUUUGAGGUGUUGGGUUUCCAUUUUGGGCAGGUAUGGGUGCUUGUUGGGUGAGCUAAGGUGGUUCGCUGACCCAACAAGGCAACAACGUUGUCAACAACUGAGUCGGACCGAGCCAAGUUGUGGUUGUGGGUCAUAUGAGUUUGGGUUCGGUGCAUAUAUGCUACGUACGUGUGGUCCCAUAUUUGUUUUUUGGGGCCAAUAUGUGGAUAUAAAUGGGACGUGGAGCUUUUAUGCAUCUGUUCACCACGUCGUACUUGAGUCCCUCUUUUGUACGCACACAAUCUUUUUUUCCAAGUUGCUUUCGAGAUUCUCCACGCAUUUGUUUUCUACUUUUUGGAUGGCUUUAGUUUCUUUUUUUUUCAUCUUUCUUCCAGUGUCCUGCAUAAAAUAAAAUUAAAAAAAAAAAAAAAAAAAAAAAUUCUUAUAUGUGUAUCACGCGUCGCGCCACAAGUGGACAGCGAAUCGCCAUAAAAACAAAAUUUUAUGUGCAGGAAUUGCACCUCAUGGCAUAGUAGAGUUUACGUCAUGCAAGCCACUGUUUGUUGAUGAAAAGGAUAUAUCAUAUACAUGUCAGUGUUUGGAUCCUCACUUCCAUACAUAUUAGGAACAGCAACAUGCUAACACCAUUUGUGAUCAAUUAAUCAUUUCGAUUUUCCCCAUUAGAUGGCCCUCGUACUUUUCGAUCGGUAGCCUAAAUGAUCAGCAAAUAACUAAAUCACUUGAGAGGAAUCCAACUCUAGGACUUGAUGUCCUAUGCUGAAGAUUAAUUUGGUGUGUAUGAACAAAGGAAGAUCUGUUUCAACUUUGACAUUAAUUUCAUAUACCUACCGUAUAUUUGCUAUUAAUUAGAAUCUACAUUGACAAGUAAGGUUUCUUAACAGGAACUCAACUCAUUGCUUCAAGAGCUAAGCUUUGAGCCGGGGUUUGUGUUCACACGAGACGUGUCGUACGUGGCGUUCCUUGAAAGAGUCCACGAAGGCGAGCAAAAGCUCCGAUCGGUCGGACUAUGGGAUGUCCCUCAUCCUUGGCUAAACAUCUUCAUUCCCAGGUCUCGAAUACUAGACUUUGAUCGCGGAGUGUUUAAGGGAAUUCUUAAGCACAAUAAGGCCAUGGGCCCCAUUCUAAUUUACCCCAUGAACAAAAGCAGGUAAGUGCAUUCGUUACUCAAUUUUGUUCAAUAAGAAAAUCAAAAGUCUCAAGUUUGAAGAAAAGUAUUGUUUGAAUAGCGCCUACUAUCUUUCUUCUACGCUACUAACUUUCAUUUUCGCUACAACAAAAAACUGUAGACUUUUUAUGUAGCAAGAAAUGUUGUUCUAAAAAUCAUGACAAGUAGGCGCCGGUUCAUUGACAAAUUGAGAAUUCAUCUUAAACUGUGAUUAGUGCAUGAGUUAGUUGAGGGUCUUUUCUGCAGGUGGGACGAUCGGACGUCAGCAGUGGUCCCCGACGAAGAAGUUUUCUACACCAUAGGCUUGUUGAGAUCAGCAGUAAAUGAUGAUUUGGAAUUUUUGGAGGCCGAAAAUGCUGAAAUACUCCGAUUUUGUAAUGAGGCUGGUAUUGAACUUAAGAAGUACCUACCUCAUUACACAACUCAAAGUGAUUGGAUGAAACACUUCGGUCCAAAAUGGGGUAAGUUCGUGGAGAUGAAGAUGAAGUAUGACCCAAAAGCGCUCCUAUCUCCAGGGCAAAGGAUAUUUACCCCAUUGAUAGAGGGUUAUUCCACAGAGUGACUCAAAGAGAUUUACAUCUCAUUUUAGGUCGAAUACUUUGAUGUACAUCUUGUAAAAUGCUAGCCAUAGUUUGUAGAAAUUAAACUAUUCCACUUUUCGAGUCUUUGUUUGUCAAUCAAUGAUCUGCAUAUAAUUUUCUACAGCAUGAUUAAAUACAUUUAGGGUGUGCUUGGUUUAAUAUAUUGCUUUCCAUUCCGACUGUUUGAUCAAGGAGAUGCUCCUUUUCAGUUUCUAUUACAGGGUAGAAUAAGAAAAGCAAGCGAUCGACCUAAAACUGAGACAGUAGUGAAAAUGUGGAGUCAUUUUUGAACCUCAAUUGAAGUCUCAAUUCAGCUGCCGAAAGAGCUGCAACAAAUUCAAUCAAGUCAGAUCAUAGUUUCCAUCGAUUUUGAUUUCGCACGCCAAAACACUUGUAAAUGACAAAGAUUCUAAAUACGCCAAAAUAGAAUUCAAAGUAAGAACAGUGUGAUUGACACAGGAAAUUUAACUGGUUCCAAAGUUGUGCUCAAUCUUUUAGGUUGGAUCAUUUUAGAUGUCAAGAUGAUGUUUCUAGGUACUACAAAUUUGGAGGGGCUGGGCCAGUAUCGUUUGAGUGAAAGAAAAUAUGAUGGAACAAAACAUGUACUUGACUUUGGCCACCUCUAUUACAUCAUGGACCACUCUAUAAUAGCUUUGUUACCACUCUAUAAUAGUUUCUUUCGCCAGCAUGACAAAAUUUGUUGCUUUAAUCUCGUACGAGAAGAUGAAGAUUUGGCAAGUAAAGUUUUUUUUUUCUUAGUUUUAUGUGUGGAAAAUCCUAUUGACGGUAAUGAUAUUUUUUUGGCUGUUGCGCAGCUAAGUCUAUGACGAAAGUUACAUUACUUGCAUACAAACUAUUAGUGAAUAAGUAGAAUUUGCUCAUGAUUGUAUAAAAAAAAAAAUCUACAUUACGUUUGAAUAAUUUUUAGUUCAAAAUGAGACCUAAUUAGUAAAUAACUAGAAUUUGUUCAUCAUAGUAGGAGUAGGAAACAUGGGCUCGAACAAUUUGGCCCAAGAAAUGUUUAGAUUUAUGGACACGCCCAACAUUUGUUUAGGAUCCAUGUAUUGCAUUACGUGGGCUAAUUGCGAGGGGCUAAGUUUCACUGGUCGGACCAUUGGUUUCAAUGGUAAAUCUCUACUUUAUUAUUUGGUCCACUAUAACUUCAUCUUCGGGUAAAAAUUCAAAAAUUUCAAAAUAGCAUAAAUAAUUUCGACUUAGCUGAGAUCUAAGUCAAAGAUGAAAAAAAUAAAAUAAAAUAAAAUUAUUAAUCAUCUCUCACAGCUUUAAUUUUUACGCUAUUUAUUUUCCACCAAAUAAAUGAUAAAAUUGAAAAAAAUUAUUUCCACCAAUGUACAAAAUAAACAACAAAAUAGUCAUCAGGAAAUUUACUACAUGCGUGAACCAACCUGGUGUGUUGGGCGAGCAACGGACGAGGCCCGGGACCCCGCCCACUUCUACUUCUUCUUCUUCUGGAUACGAGUCGUUCGGAGGGCGAUGCAGUUCGCGGCGGAGGACCACCGCUUCCUCGUCCACCUCUCCCGCCUCCUCCGCCGCGAGAGAGGGGCGCGGCUAUGGCUCGGCGCCGCGCUCGUCUCCCUCCUUAUCCUCCUCCUCCUCCUCCUCGCGCCGCGGAUCCCCCAUUCCCCAUCCCUCCACAUCUUCGCCGACAUGCGCAACUUCCUCGGUUGUAACCCCCUCUCUCUCUCUCUGCAUCUCUCUACGAACCCUAAUCGUGCCCAAUUGCUUGAUCCCGCUUCCGCCGCAGGGGUGCCCAACACGCUCAACGUGCUCACCAGCUUCCCCUUCUUGCUCGUCGGAGUCCCCUCCCUCGUCCUCUCCCUCUCCGGGAGCUGCUUCGGGAUCAGGUGCGCUAGGGUUCCGCCGACGCUCGAUUUUCCUGGAAAUGUUCGGAGUUCCACUCCGAUUGUGCGCCAUUUUGGAAUAAACCCCUUAAAUUUUCGUUUUUAGUCAGGGGAUUUGUCAAAAUUAGAAACUUUGAUGGUCAUUGGCAGGUGACAAUCAAACGGAAUUCGCAAUUACCAUUUCAAAAGGGCCAAGUUUGCGAGGAGUUUCUUUUCAAAAUGGCGUACAUUUGAGGGGGUACGUGCACAUGUUGUACCCGUUCUCUUUCCCGGACCUGUUCUGUUUAUAUGGUUUGGUGACAAUUAGAUUACUAGGAAAGUGUUUGAUGGAUGUUCCGUGUGGGUUGUAGCUUGAAAGGAGAGGUCUUGGGUUGGGCUUUUUUCUAUGCGGGGAACUCGGCGUUGGCGUUUGGAUCCGCAUAUUAUCACCUUAAGCCGGAUGAUGAUCGAAUUGCUUGGGACAGGUUACCGGUAUAUACGAACCCAAUCUUCUAUAAUGUCCUUUUUAUUCUGCAUUGUUGUGUGAACAUUUGAGUUUGUGAUGUUGUAUUGUUAAAUGGAAGCAUCUGCCUAAUAGUAGUUGGGUUCCAGAUCUUUCUUCUAAUCUUCGAAUAUGUAGAUUUUUAUUCACUUCAGAGACUUUGGAAUUGUACUAUUUGUAUUUUUUGUUAAAAGAAACUUGCACAUUUCUCUUUUGUUGAUUCUGUUAGAACGCAUGUUCUUUCAAGCAGAUGAUGAUCUCAGCCUCUUCUCUAUUGUCUAUCUUAGUGAUAGAGAGAGUGGAUGAACGGAUUGGAGUAUCAUGUUUGUUUUCACUCUUAGCCCUCGUACUCCUCAGCAUCGUAUGUGAAAGGUAAUUCAAAAUUUUUCUCGUAAAGUAAACUCGACUUUUUUUGUACAAACUCAAAAUGCUUAAAGAAUGGCUAAUAUAUUUUUCUGUGGAAUGUGCUAUGUUAGCUGGUUGCAGGACCUUUAACGAUCUUCGGCUGUGCAUGAUGUUCCAUAUUUUUCCAUGCAUCGCAAUUCCUGCAAUGGUUUUCUUGUUGCCGCCGAAGUAUACACAUUCAAGAUUUUGGAUUUUGGCGACAGGUCAUUUCUAAACUGUGACCAGUGAGCACAUUUCCAGUUUUCAGUUUCCUCCAUUCAUUUUGUUAUCUGCAAAACACCCAUUUUGGCCAAUUUUUUACUCUAUUUUUACAUAUAACACUUUCAACUUUUCACGAUGGAUAUCUGUACAAUCUCUAACUAGAAUAUAUCAAUUGAAUUCUGGAUCAGAAACAUCGUCCGGUCCUUAACAAGUAGGAGGUGUCUGAUUUUGUGAAGUGCAAUUGUGAAAUCUCUUCUCUCUCUGUUAAGGCUUAUGGUGAUUGACUCUCCAUGUAAAUUUAAUGGGUAAAAUUACUUACUAGUCGAUGAACUUGAGGCCAAAGUUUCACUUUUAAUAUUAUAAGCUAAUAUAUGAGAAUUUGUUAGAAUUGAUUUUUUCAAGUUUUCGAACUAUGCAUCUUCUUUUAUUAUCUAUUUAUAUGUGGGUAAAGUUGUACAAAAAGCUGUUGCAUGUAAGACGUUGUUGCUGCAAAUACGCAAGACGGUUCCUGUUAAGGUCUGCCAACAUUUUUAAGGAGUUGUAAUGCUAGAUGUACUCAAGAAGAUAAGAUUACAUUAACUCAGAUAUUCUGACUGAUUUUUAAAUCUUAUUGAGCUAAUAUUAUAACCUUAUAGACCAAAUAACAACAUUUAGUAUACUAACGGACCGUUUGGUUCCUGGUUUGUAAUAUUCCGGAAUUGUUUUACAUUUUAUAUUUGGAAUGAUAAACUUGUUACUAAAGUUAACCACUUGUAUUUGGGAGGUUGCUAGGGACUAGUAUAUUCUUAUUAAUGGACCCAUUAAAUAUGGGAAUGAGAAUACCUCUUAAUAACCAAUCUAAUAUUCUUACCGGCUAGGGAAUCUACAGUGAUUCCACUACUUCACUAAUAUCUUUUACAACUAUCCAACUUAAGUUGAAUUGUAAUGAUUUGAAUAUUUUUCAAUAAAAAAUAUAGGAAAUUACUGGAAUAUUACAAACCGUAAACCAAACGGCCUCUAAGGUUACAAACAAAAGAGGAUCUUUCGAUGGAUAAGGUCUUACUCAUCUUCUCAUUGUUUGCACUUUGUUUCUCUGAUGGUUGUCAAAAUUCAGGUUUCUACCUUCUGGCGAGAUUUGAAGGUAUUGCUGAUAAAAAGGUUUACAGUGUGAAUCGAUACUUCAUCAGUGGCCACUCCUUGGAGCAUCUCUUUUUGGCAGUGGUUUCCAUCAUACUAACAGUAAUGCUGUGUCUCAGAAGUAUUAAGAUUGCCAGGUAUCCACAUAACCAUAAGUGAAUGGAUAUUUUUUGGUUUUUCAUAAAACCGUUAGUUUCCACACAAACAAAUUUAACAAUAAGCAGUUUAUAUAGGAAGAAAUGAAAUCUUUGUAGAUUGCAUACUGAUUGGGGUUUAACCUUCCUGCAGAGAUUACUAGAACGGACCUGGGAUUGAGACAUUUGUAAAUUUAAUGGGGAAGUAGUGAAGAAUCUAUCGAGAACUGAUAUCGACUUUGAAUUUGGACAGUACAGUUUGUAGUUGACUGGUACAAUUUCUUUCAUGCUCUUCUCUACUACUGAUCUUUGCAGCAACAUAGGUCUCAGAAUGUUGUUUUUUAGCUCUAUUGAAUAGCAUGUAUGAGUUGAUGAAAAAUAAAUUCGCCUGUUUCGUUGGAUAUACAUAUACUUCAGUAAUGAGCUUAGGUUCGUUUUGUAUAUGAUUUAAUGCUUGUUUUUUUUUUUUUUUUUUUUUAUUAUCAUCAUCAUCAUCAUCAUAAAUAGCAAUGCUGAAGAUGAGAGGUAUUCUAAUAUUUGCAUCAAUGUUUAAUUUGUAGCUUCUUGAAAAAGCCUCUCUACUUGAAGAUGUAGCAGUGAAAUAGUUAGCUAGUAAGAAAGUUUCAGGCUUUCGUUGUUGGGUGAAAAUUUGAAGUCAAGCUUCUCUACCAACUUUUUUUUUUAAAAAAAUUUUUAGCUAGGAAGAACUAAGAAGUGCUUCAAUGGGACUCCAAUGAAAUAAACUGGUAGUAAGGUGCUAAUAUAGGCCAUUUUGAAAUUGAUCAUAGUUUUUUUGUAAAAAAAUUUUAACGUCUGUUUAAUUAUUUUCUGUUGUAAUUCUAGUUUUUUUUUUUUUUUUUUUUUUUUUUUUUUUUUUUUUUGUAAGACUCUGUUAAUUUAGUGGAACUUCUAAUUUAUUUGGUUAGAAUAAAAUUGAAUAAAAAUAAAUAAAUGUAUAUAUGCGUUGUAAAUAUCAAUAAAGAAAUAAAUUUAUAAUAAUCAAUGUGUGAGGUGAUAUUCACACACCCUUUUUUUUUGUUCCCUUGUAUCUCUUCGGCGUUCCCCAAAAUGGUACCCACAUGCUACCGCUCCUCUUCCUCCUCGGCGCAAGUCGACGACGCCACUCUUUUCUUCUUCUUCUUCCUCUCUCCUCCUCCCAUUACCACCAUGGACACGAACCCGCCGAGCUCGACCUCGACCUCGGCCUCGACCUCGACCUCGAGCGCUCCACCUUCCAAUGGAACGCCAAUCUCCGCUCCCACCUCACUCGUGGCGCGCCCACCGCCGCGCUCGCCCUCUACUUCCGCAUGCGCUCCCUCGGCGCCCUCCCCGACCACUACACCCUCCCCCUCGCCCUCCGAGCCUGCUCCGGCGCCCGCGCCUCCCGCGCCUGCUUCCUCGUCCACGCCCACGCCGCCUCCACGGGCCUCCACCGCCACCUCCACGUCGCCAACGAGCUCGUCGUCAUGUACGCUCACCUGGGUCUCAUGGAAACCGCCCGUAAGGUGUUCGACGAUAUGCCGCACCGAAGCGUGUUCUCUUGGAACGCCCUCCUCUCCGGGUACUCCUCAAGUCGCGAUCUGGACCGCGCGCGCGAGGUCUUCGCGCGGAUGGAGGAGGUGGGCCCCACGCCCGACGCCGUGACGUGGACGGCACUCCUGUCGGCGCACGCCAAGUGUCGGCGCCACGGCGACGUCGUCAACCUGUUUGACGAAAUGAGGGCCAAGGGAUGCAGAGGCACUCCGGAGUCCCUCGCCGUUGCGCUCUCCGUUUGCCCUUACGUCGACGGCGCGUUGUUGGACAAAGGUAGAGAAAUCCACGGCUACGCGGUCCGAAACGGCUUCGAAGCAUACUCCUUUGUGAACAACUCGCUUAUAUGCAUGUAUGGUAAGCUCGGGAGCAGAGAGGAUGCCGAGCGGUUGUUUCUGGGUACGAGCUCUAGAGAUUUAGUAACUUGGAAUUCGUUGAUAUCGAGCUAUGCGGCGGCUGGUUUAUGCGAUGAAGCUUAUGACAUCUUUCUACAGAUGGAUCGAACAGGAACAGGGGAGCUGGCGCCCAAUGUGGUGAGUUGGAGCGCAGUGAUUGGCGGGUUCGCAUUGAGCGGUAUGAUCGAGCGGUCGCUGGAGCUUUUCAGGAAUGUCGGGUCGUGCCCAAUUCGGUUACUCUUGCUACCGUUCUAUCUGCAUGCGCAGAGUUGUCGGCACUGAGGUUGGGCCGAGAGGUUCACGGANGGAACAGGGGAGCUGGCGCCCAAUGUGGUGAGUUGGAGCGCAGUGAUUGGCGGGUUCGCAUUGAGCGGUAUGAUCGAGCGGUCGCUGGAGCUUUUCAGGAAGAUGCAGCAAUGUCGGGUCGUGCCCAAUUCGGUUACUCUUGCUACCGUUCUAUCUGCAUGCGCAGAGUUGUCGGCACUGAGGUUGGGCCGAGAGGUUCACGGACACGCCGUUAGAGGAUCAAUGGUUCAUAAUUUGUUGAUAGCAAAUGGACUUCUCAAUGUGUAUUCGAAGAGUGGGAACCUUCGUAGUGCGCGGUUGGUGUUCGAUGGAAUGAGGAAGAGGGAUUUGAUAUCUUGGAACACCAUGGUUGCCGGGUACGGAAUGCAUGGGCUUUGCGACGAAGCUUUCGACACUUUCUACGGUAUGGUUAGGGCCGGUGUUGAGCCAGAUAAUAUAACUUUCGUGGCGGUUCUCUCUGCGUGUAGCCAUGCUGGGCGAGUAUCGGAUGGUCGUGAGGUGUUUGAUCAAAUGCUUAACAAAUAUAAAGUCUCGCCAGGAAUUGAACAUUACACAUGCAUGGUGGACCUUCUCGGGCGUGCCGGUCUGCUGAAAGAAGCAAUUGGGCUCAUAAAGAAGAUGGCAAUGAAGCCGAGUGUUUCCGUCUGGGGAGCGCUUCUCAACUCUUGUAGAAUAUACGGGAAUGCCGCGGUUGCCGAAGAUACCAUGAAGAGGUUGGGGAUCGAAGAAGAAGACAGUACGGGGAAUUAUAUCAUGCUUUCGAAUAUAUAUGCGGCGUGCGGGAUGUGGGAGGAGGCGAAGAGGGUGCGAGUGAAGACGAAGGAGAGGGGUUUGAAGAAGAGCCCGGGACAGAGCUGGAUUGAGCUGAAGAACAAGGUGUGUGUUUUCUCGGCGGGAGAUGCGUCGCCACCCGACGGAGAAGAUGUGUACGGAGCUCUUGAAGAUCUCUAUCGCCAAAUGGAGCACGAGAAUGAUAUUAUCGAGGGAUUGGAAGAAGAGUUUAAUCUUAACUACAUGGAUGAAACUCAGAGAAAUUUUUAACUAGAAGAGCUGAGCACAUUAUUUUCCAUUUUUUGAACAAAUGAAAGAAAACGUAGAGAGUUCUACUGUUCUACAUCAAGGCGAAUUAAAAGGAAUAUUUGCAUUUUAAGGAGCAGCAAUGCUACUCUUUUGCUGCAAAUUUGACUUAAAAAACUAUUACAAGGCAUUUGCCGUUUUAGCGUGGGAAUGUGGGAACAUAUUACAACAUUCUUUAUUCUCCGGAUGAAGCAAAACAUGAACGCAUAUGUAACCCAGUGUAAUCCACUGGUCAACUGUAAAAUAAAAAAAAAAACUCCAAAAAAAAAAGCUUUAACAAAAUUCAUUCCCCAUUAUAUAAAAAUAAGAAUAAUAUAAUAUUAAUAUCAUUUUCAUACACUAGCAGCUCCGAUGAGGACACAAAAUCUUGAGAACGAAAAUGGCUCCAACAUAACAAGCACCCUCCCGUACCCACAAACAACGGGGUAAAAAAUGAUUGACCACUGAUAAUACCAAAUAAUUUAAAGAUACCAAAAAUACCAGCUCUGAGUCCCCCUAACAUAGAUUAAGAGCAAGGGAAUCACAACACUAUACUCGACCACACCACAAAACAGUUUUUCCAAACCAAACUAAUCUGGAAACGCUUCCGUUUUAGAUUUAAUUACUGUUGCUUGCACUCAGCUGGUCGCUCUUGAGCUUCCAAUCCACCCUUCUGCAGUCCAAAAUCAACACAACUUAGAAAUUUAUCAAAAUUUAUAUAAAAAAUGGUUUUGCCUUUGCUUUUUUUUUUGUGUGUGUGUUGAAUAAGGUUGUAAGAAUAGAAACCGCACCUUUUGUCCGCUGGCCAACUGCUUGGGACAAACCGAAAAGAUAAAUCAGCAUCAGAAGCCAGAACAUAUUUCAGUAGUUUCGAGACUGAAAAUUGGAAACAGUUAUGAAGAACAUGAAAUUGUUACCUUCUUCUUGGUCUUUCCCUCCUCUUCCUCUUCUUCAUCGUCGUCAUCAUCGUCAUUCUCCUCAUCCUCUUCUUCAUCCUCAUCUUCCUCGUCUUCAUCCUCUUCAUCAUCUUCUUCUUCUAACCCUUCGAAAUCAUCCGCUUGAACAGCCUCACCCGUAAACCACGAGACCGCAUGAGGUAUAAUUUUAUCUCUAAUAGUGGACCUGCAUGGAAGAGAGAGAGAAAAAAAUGCUGACACGACUGAGCUACAUACUUUUUAUUCUCCUCAUCCUCUUUUACAGAAGCAGACGAGCUUUAAAUUAUAGUUUCUGCAUUCAGAACCUAAAAGCUCAUUUUUUUAUUCCCAUGACAGCAAAAGCUACAUACUCCUUAUUUGCUAUGCUCCUAGCUGUUGCUAUUCAGGCUAGAGGCUGUUUACGAAACCAGGACGCGAAAAUAUAUACAUUUACAAAAACAAUAAUUUUGUAGAAAGCUAAUGGAACAACGGAAAACUAUGAAUAAAUUGCUUACCCAAUAUCAUAAUCUUGCUCCAUUUGAUUCUGGAGUUCCUCAGCCUGGCCCAUUAGCAAAAGAUGAGCCAUGUAAAUAGAUAUUCUUAUAUUUCUCUAACAUUUUUUUUAAACUAAUAAGCAAGUCAUUUUCAACUUACAGUCUCUUCAUCUAUAUCCUCAUCAUCCUCAGGGACUUGUGGAGGAUUGAAAAAAUUAAAAAAGCUCUCGCAAGUUUCAGUUUUAGUGAUGGGCUUGGCAUUCUUCGAACCCUUUUUUGGUUUCUUUUUCAAAAUCUUCUGGGUCAAGCACUUCCCAGGAUACCACUCUAUCUCAGUCCUACAAUAAAAAUGUCAUGAUUAAAUAUGUAAGAGUAAGAGAUAUAAAGUAACAAUAACAAAAAAAAAAUUAUAACUAAUAUACAGUAAAGGCUAUAAAUUACCCUAUUGCUUUUUCUAAGAUUGGUUCAUCAUCAUCUAUCAUGUGAUAUGUUUUCGUCAAGACUGAAUUUUUGAAAUAAGGGUUGGCAUCAAAGAAGAAUUCAAGCUUGAAACCCUUGGGAUUAUCAAUUCUGCACCACUUGAUAUCUUUGAGAUACUUGAGGGCAUCCUCAUCACGCUCUUGAAUCUACAUGAGGAAAAUUUUCAUUAAAAGACGCCAAUAAGGAAAAAAAAAAAAAUGAUAAAAGGAAAGUUGUUUCCUUCUUAUUACCUCUUCAGUCAGCACUUCGUUCAUUUUCAUAGCAUUGAGCCAAAAACCCGGAACACCUUUUUCUGAAUCAAUAAAGCAAAAUAAAGAAUUAAUGAAUGCAGAAAGAAUAAGGGAGCAGAUUCUAUCUUCCAAAUUCCAUUAAAAACCUUCGGUCUUUUCACCAUCAGCAGUGGGUUCCUCUGCUGUUUCAUUUGUAAUACCGUUGACCUCCACUAUUCCAUUAACAAUAUCGUAUCUCUGCAAAAUAUUCAGUAAGAAGCAAGCAGAAUAAUGCUUGUGGCAAAAUCAUGGAAGGGCAAUAGAAGACUGGCACCUUGUCGCGCAAGUGAUGUCAAUUAGAACAUUAAUUAUUCCAUGAAUAUCUUGUUUGCACAUGGUAAUGAAGCACAGAAGAGAUAAGAAAGAAAGUCUUUACUAUACAACAUUAGAAAAAGUACCUUGAUGUAUAGUGGCUCAUAAAGCUUCUGAUAUUUAGCUUCGAGAGCAGCUCUCUCCUCGAAAAAUUUUGCCUCAAACUCAUCAUGUUGGCUCUAGAACAAUAAAGUAAUUUUCAAUCAGUUCGUUAGUAGGACUUCUAGUACUUUCCAGCACACAAGCAGAAUCUAUUACAUCUAUGCCCACGCUGUGGUAGAGAGAAAACCCUUAAUGAAUGCGACCAGUCAAAAGGAAUGCUUAUCAUCUUAUGAUCUUAUGCUAAUUAUCUUAUGCGGCUUGCCUAUCAAGUAAACAAGUAAAAGCAGACUUCACUAAGGGAAGCUAUUCAAAUUAAUCUUUGUUGGGAAAGGCUGUAAGUUGACAAAAAGCUCAAAGAAAACUAUCCAUAUGAAGUUGCUCAAAUUUGAGACCCGGGGCAGAAGCUUCUUUCCAUUAGGGUCUCAUAGUACAAAAUCAAUUAACUAUGACACCCAAUGAAUUAGGAAACCGGUCCAAUACGGAAGAGAGACACAAGCUUCAUAAACUUCCACAUUGCCCGUACUUCAUGUCGCAAAUGCAUCUACUCCAUGCCAUAUUACCACAUCUCCUUUUACUAUAUGGGGACUACAAUACCCCAUCAUAGCACACAAAAUUUCAACUUGUGGAAUUAAGGAAAAGUGACUCCAUGCUACAACUUAAAAAAAAUUAACAAACCUAACCAAGAAUGUACUGAGAAAACACGAGGAUGUUCGAAUUACAAGAGGAACAAAAGUUGCAAACCUACACUGCAGGAAAACAUGUGUAGCAACACCAUCACUUAUUAAGCCAUCCCCAAUUCCAAAAAGUUCUAGCCGAUACAAAUAUCUAACCAUUAAUCAAAAAUCAAAAGCUCUAAUCAUAUACAACAAAUACUUUACGAGACAUGCCCAAUUAAGCAUGAGUUGCACAUGCCAACUCUCCAAAAUAGCACUUUCAACUCUCAUUCAAACAGUAUGUUAAUGGAGAGCAAUGCGAAUCUGGCAUUCAACGAAAAUACAUAUUAGAAUCGCGUAACACUAAGCAUAAACUCUGCAGCAUAUACCAAAGAUACUAAUACAAUUAGGAACUUUAACCUACUAUUAUAAAAGAAAAGGAAUUAUAACCAACGGAGAAUUAUAGGGAAAAGCUCUGAGAUCAACCAGAAGCAAGAAUGAAAACUGAGAACUAACACCCAAACUAAAAAGAAGGAACUACAAUACCGCAACGACACCCAACAAAACAAGACCAAAUGGAUCAUUAGGAUCAGGACAAGGAAUAAAGACCAAACCUGGAUUUCCCUCAGCACCUCGACGCGCUUCCUCACAUUUGGCGAGAGCGUCUCGAGAACAUCCUUGUGUUCCCCAGCCAAGCUCUGCAGCUUAUUCUGCAGGAAAAAAAAAAAAAAAAAAAAACUCUUUCUCAGUAGAAAGCCCAAAUCUUUCAGACCAAUUACAACAUAAACAAGAUCUAGAUCACAGACAAAAGUUGAAAAUCACCGAAUACAGAGAUCAAACCUCACCUUUAGGGCAGAGACGAGCCCCGCCCGGUCCUCCGCGCUUAACCCUAGAGAUCAUACACACGUCCACGCAUCAAAACAAAGGACACAACACCGACUACGAGAUCUAACAAAACAAACAGGAAACCCUAAGGAGAGGGAUGUAGAGAGAGGAACCUGCGGCGACGGCGGGGAGGGCGGAGCCGAGAUCGUUGAGGUUGAGGGUGUUCUGCUGCUUGUUGUUGCUCAUGGCGGCUUCUUCUUCUUCUUCUCCUCCGCCGCCUCUUCUCCUUCUUCUUCGCCGCCUUGUCGAGUAGAGAGGGUGCGGCGAAGGAGAGAAACCCUAGAGAGGUAGAGCGAUUACGGAGGGAGAAAGAGGGUAUAAAGCGGAGGAGAUGGAGAGUGGGGUUUCUUGUGUUUAUAUAUACCAAGGAGAAAUUGCGUGGGCUGUGGGAGUAGGGUUUUACUCGCCCCUCUCUUUCUCCUCCUUUUUUUUUUUUUUUUUUUUUUUAAGUUGAAGCGGCGCGAUCGGAUUAAGAUCCGCCGCACAUUCGAUCUCGUGCACAUUUAUUAAUUACCAUUUUUAAAAUUUAAACACCACAUAAUCACAUACAUUUUUACCUAAUCUCAUUUAAUCACAUAAUUAAAUUUCUUAAAAUUUAUUUAUUAUUUUAUUUAAAGGCAUUAAAAAGUUUGAUACGAAUACAGCUAACAAAAUAUCAACUGAACGAAAAUAAGCAACCUAAUAAAGCUCCAACUUAAAUGGUAAGAUAAAUGCCAAAAACAUUAUUAUUAUUAUUAAUAAAUAUAAAAUAUAAUUUAGAUAUUUCCUUGUAAUAUUAUUUUGCCCAAGUAAUUUAGUUUUCCCUGAUUUCUUGUGAUUUUAAAACUGUUGUUUGGAAAACUGAAAACCUGAGGGACCUCUCUGCAAAAAUACCGUUCGCGCGUCGAAUGGAAUAUGCUCAUGUGGACCGUCGACUGUGCGAAUCCAGCGUCUUGGGCACCUGGUCGAUGUGGGGUCCACAAGCAGUGACUGAAUUUCCGCGCAACCGCCAAUAAUAUGCUGACACGUAAGUAGCUAGGCUGUUCGUUGUUGUGAGAACAAGAGCUGGUGCGCACCCGCACGGGAUCUAGGUAUCUAACCCGCUCGGGCGUUUCAAACAAGGUCAGACGAAUAAUUGCAUGCGCCCGGUGUACAAAACGGGGCCUCAAAAAACCCAAAGCUAUGGAUUUUUAAAUGAAAAAAAUCGACAUUGUUAGACUCGAGCUACAAUGCUUAAAAUAAAAAGCUUUUCCUUAACCCUUUUUUCGAACAUAACAAUGAUAAAAUUUUUAACACCGCUAGUUUUGCGACUAUUCUGUAUCUGUAUUGUAGAUUUUUAAUUAUUAUAAAUUUUAUAUAAUAUAGAGAGCAAUUUUGGAAUUAUCAAUCAAAUUUAAUAUAUAAUUGCUUGGGCUUAAAUUUUGUAUAAGAUAGGGCUUGAAGAUGUUUUUCUGUGUAGUUUACGUGAAUAGUUUGUUCUUCAAUAAAUAAAUAAAUAAAUAAAUAAAUAAUCUCAAAUUUUGUAUGUCCCAGUGCAUACACCGUGGCGCAUGCAAUAGUUUCUACACAACAAAAAUCGGGAGUGGAGGGUCGAUAAUCGGAUGUUGGUCCCAACCAGGUUAUAGGAUCCGACCCGAUAAAUUGCGAUCCGACUUAGAAAGCUUUUGUGGGGGUGGCCCACUAAAGCCCAUGAACAUCGGUUCACUUCAGGGCCCUACUUAGCCCACUUUCCACGCCCGCGAAUGUUAAAAAUUUAAAGGCCAUGUUAGAAAUAUUUGAACUACUGCUUUUCAGUUUUGAUUCUGUUCGUAAUAGCAAGCGUACAGUUCCUGUGAAUUGAGUGCUUUAAUUGCCAGCUAUGGACCAAAGGGGAAUCAAAAAUGGUUCAUACUGAAGCACUUAAAUUCGAAUUGUACACAACAUAAUAUUUGUACAUUUCAUUAUUUUACUAGUAAAGGAGCAAUUAACACCUGAAUAAAGACAUGAUCAUCUGAACUCACCAAUCUCAGCUUAUCCAGCACAUGGCCUGCCUUAUCUGAAUAAUAAAUUCGACCAAAUUUUGAGCGAUCAAGUGACACUUGUGAACUGGAGAAGGCUGCAUUUAAGAGGCCUUUUGCCAUGUAGCAGUUGAUUCCCAACUUCAAGCUUAACUUUCGAUGCAGCAGAUUACAUCAUACAUCAUGCGAAUAAUGAUCAAAUUCAAUAGGUCUACUCUUUUAGGAACAAAAACAAUAUUCUAGAAACUCUCAGAAUCCUUAGUUUAGCUUUACAAUCUGAAGAACAAUCUGUAACUUGAAAAAUCUUAGUAAGAGGAAAAUCCAAAAGAUGACUAUCAUUUCUCAUGAGUGAUGUAGUUUACCGGUGGAUUAGCAUUUAACAAACCAAGUUUUAGUACGAAAACUCAAUGAAUGCACAGCUCAGCACAAAAGUAGAAGAAAAAUAGAAGAUUAAAAAGACCUAGCAAAAUGUACAAGCUCUUCUGUUUCGACUGCAGAACUGCGUGCUUGAGAUGGCUUCACGUAUUAGCUUGGAAAUGACCUAAGCUUCCCGUUUCUUUGCCUGAAAUAAGUUCGCAAAAUCACUUACAGGAAAAACUACUUAGGUACGACUUAAUUUAGGAUGUGAGAGAGAUCAAGAUAACAUACCAAAACGAAUCCUUCUUUUCUUGGGCUAGUAGCUCUUCGAAUGAGAUAUCAGGAAGUUCCGCAGUCCCUUCUGUUGGAACUUUCUCCAUACUUGCACUGAUCUCAAGCAUCUAUAAUAAAAUUAAAAUAGUAAUUCAGAUAUUAAACAAUCUAAUUCUGUUUAUUUAUUUAGUGUUUGUUUGAGUCUGGCUGGAUUGAGGUUCUGUGCUAUUUGAGUAUAGUUGUUUAAAAAGCAUUAAUAGCUUCUUCAUUAGAUCUUCUCAACAAUUUCUCCUGCAGCAGAAGCUAGAGUGACAAAUUACGCUUCCACUUCCAGGACACAAAAACUUUGUUUUGCUUCACACCACAACAAAAUUUUCAUUCCUUCCAUUAGUUAAAAAUCUAGAAGCUUUGGUUUUGUAGAAUAAGCUGUUCCAGAACCGGCCCAAACAAGCACUCAGCAAUAUUGAAAGAUGAGUACCGUUUUGUAUGCAGGUGACAACUUAAGCUGCUCUUGAACUAAAUUAUAGACAGCAGCAUCCUCUUUUAGCCUCUUAUGUUCCACUUCUAACUUGUACAUCUGUGAAAAAUUGCAAACAGCAAUUGAUGAGAAUGCCAACAACCACCACUAAAAGUGCAUGCUAACAGACAGAAAAUAGCACAGCAAACCUGUUGACAAAGGCGAUCAAAUGAAGAUCGAUCGGCCUUGAAUAACAAUGCCUUUUUAAUUUUAAAACUCCGUUGAAUGAUCACAGACCUGUUAUAAUCAAAAUUACCUUUUAAAAUUUAAAUAAAAUAAAAUAAGACAAUAUAUAACGCCAGCAAGUGGAUUAGACUUAAGAAGGGGAUACAUACUUGUGUUGCAAUUCAUUUCUUGCCUCAACGAGACAGUUGAUAAACUGACCAACCUACAAAACAAAGUAAAAGUCUACGUUAUGCAAUCAUGAAUGAAAAGUAUAAAACAUUAUAAAUGAGAAAAUUUGGUGGUAGAGUAGCUGGGACAUGCAAUGCUGAGUAAGGAAAAUCAUUAUAGGCACGAUUGAGAUAAUAGAAACAAAGAGUAGAGUUGAACAAAAAAUAGUAACAGAAAACAUGAACAUUUCAGCACAAUGACAAUACAAUGAGAUUAGCAUUUUGUUACUUCUACAUCUGAUGGAAUCAGAUGUUCGGAUAAGAGAAACAAUUAGUAACUAUGGAUAAUAGUAUCCUAUAUUGUUCUUCUAGGUGGGUUACAUCCAAAUCAUUGUAGAAAGUGUGCAAUGUUUGUUUUACGACUCUAGUAGGACAAAAAGUCCAAUUUUUGUUAAUACACGCUGCCUACAACUUCCAAUUAGGCAGUUCGUCACACAAGAUUUCAGACAAAAGAAAUUAUGAGGCCUUCAAAUUGGCCUUCUAAGUUCUUUUGGAGCACAAUGUAAGUCCAGUUGUGAUAUAAUAAACAGAAUGAAACUUGUGCACCCAAUUCUACAUUCUAUCAAGUUCUUUUCAAGAAUAUCAAUAAGACCAAAAAUUUAAUCAAAAAAUUGGAAAAAAUAUAGUAACAAGCCAAUAUGUUGAUGAUAAAAGUAUUCCAAGAGCCAGUUAGGCAAAUUCUUCUAUAAGUAUAUUCAUAUGACAAACAGAUGAACAGCUAGAGAGUUGCCCGACCGAAUCACGUGUCAGACACUCACAAAGUGUGUGGAUUAAUAGCAACGUUAACAUUUCGAUCUUCUAUUCAGAUUGCUCGGGCAUUAGCAUUUUAUCAGCAGGAAGAUGUAAUUGGAAGGUUUCCUAGGAUGAUCACCAUUUCACCAGUCGCUAACACAACAAAAUAAGAUCAAAUCUAUGAAUAAUUACACAACAAUUCAUGCUAUCAAUUCACAUCAAAACGUUAUCCCACAUGAGUCCUACUACUCAAAUUCACAAUCGUUUGAAUCCUAACUUCUUCGAUCUAUCCAAAAUCAUAACUAAUCCCAUCACAGAGCAUGCGAAUUAGGGUUGAGAGAGAGAGAGAGAACCUGAGCGAUGGUCAAGACCUUAGCAUGGCUGGAUUUGACGAGCUCGUCGUACUGCGACUUGAUCCUCCUCUGCAUCGCGCUCCCGAACGAGGACAAGGGGAAGGGGCAACCCACCGCCGCCUCUCUCCACCGCUUAUCUCCGCCCUCCACCUCCUCCUCGGCCGCCCCCGCCGCCGCCGGCGCCGCCGCAGCCCCAUCCUUCGCCUCCUCUCCUCCCUGCCGCUUCUUCCGCCCCCUCUUCUUCCUCUUCUUCUCCUCCCCCUUCCUCCGCUCGCUCUCCUCCUCCUCCCCCUCCCCGACUCCGCACGCCGCCUCCGGAGGAGUGUGCGAGCUGCGUUGGGCUUCGUGGGCCUCGUUGUUCUUGUGCUGAGCCUUGAGGUGAAGAGAGAGUAGGAGGAGGAGGAGGAGGAGGAGGAAGGGGGCGAAGAAGAGGAGGAGAGCUAGUGAUGAGGGUGGUGGGAGUGGUGGUGAUGUCGCCGCCAUGGAUGGGAGCUCGUCAUCCCCCACAGAGCAUAGAAAGGGAGUAGGGGGAGAGAGAGAGACGGAGAGAGUGAUCGGAGUGGAGCAGAAGCGGAGGGUUGGGAUUGCUUCCGAGUCAGGGCUUUGGAUUUCGGAAUACGUGUGGGGGUAGGCAAAGAGAAGGUAAAAUCUUUUGGACCACCGCGGGAUGUUUAUAUAUGUUGAGGUGGAUUCGGUGUGACGGUUGCAUGGGAUUCAUUGUGUUUCUGACAUGUGGGGCCCGCAGUUAGUCGGGGUCCACGUGGCAGCAUCAAUGCGGGGGUGGGCCUUAUCUGUUCGGCUGUAUCACUGACGUGUGGGGCCCGCAGUUCAAAAUACGGGCUUAUUUAUAGGCCGAACUGGGCCCUUAUUAUCCGGCCCAUUUUCUUCAUCAGGUCCAAUAACACGAAGCAACGGGCUUAGUCGUCGUCCCUAUCCUUUACCUUCCUAUUCGAGCCCUUGGAGGCUCUAAGCUCGAGCCCUUCCCUUCAACUCCCCCGAAGCCUCUCCGAUACCCUAACCAUUUCCGUACGCUCCUCCCCCCCCCCCCCNNNNNNNNNNNNCUCUCUCUCUCUCUCUCUCUCUCUCUCUCUCUCUCAAAGCUUAGUGGGGCGAAGAGAGAUAACUACAGAGGCGAUCCUACCAUGAGCCGCUACGAUAGCCGCGCCGGAGACCCCGGCACCUACCGCGACCGGAGAAGGUGACCCCUCCCCAAAACCCCAACCCUAACCUUAAUCCCAACCUUAUGCUAGGGAAGGAGACGAUGCUUCGAGUGGUUGAUGCUUUAAUUCUGUUUUUCCGUUGUUGUUCCAGCGAUGCGGGAUUCAGUGGCGGCGGGAGGGGGUUCGAGUCCUCGAGCAGGAGGGAGGCGCAGGGCGGAGGCGGCAGCGGCGCCGCCGCCGCCGAGUUGGACGGGCUGACGCCAUUCGAGAAGAACUUCUACGUGGAGUCGCCGGAGGUAGCGGCGAUGACGGAGUCGGAGGUGGAGGCCUACCGCCGCAAGAGGGAGAUCACCGUCGAGGGCCGCGACGUGCCCAAGCCGGUCAGGGAGUUCCGCGAUAUUGGCUUCCCAGGUCUCUCUCUCUCUCUCUCUCUCUCUCUCUCUCUCUCAUGGAUUUGUUGCCUAGGGUUAUAGUUUGUUGUAUGACAUUGACUAGUGUAUACUCCGCCACACUUGUAGCUUGACCUAAGUAGCAACGAUGUUGCGAUUGUACCUAGUGAAUUGGAUUUUGUGGUUCCGAAAAUGGAGAAUAGAAGUAAGGUGAAAAGAAUUGGAAUGGGAGACUCAACAAUAUUGAAAUGUGCUUGAACAAUCUUUAAUGGAAAAUGUUGGACUAUUAGUGAUGCGGCAGAGAUAUGGUAAUUGUAGUUCCAAUCAUCCAGGGAUGGUGCGAUAAGAUUACUUGUGCUGGGGCAACUUUCAAGUAAUAUAAAUGACUUUCUAGUUUUUUAGCAAAAGUAUCAAGGGAGGUAAAUUGGACAGCACAACCUUCUCCAUCUUUGGAUUUUAGAAAGACUCCAUUAUUUGUAACCGAUAAGUAAGAGAGCGAGGGAACAGAUACUUUAUAAUGGGCUCUUUAUCGAAGAUAUUCUAAGAGGAGGUUGGAUGCUCUUUAUCCCGCUAGUACUUUCACAAAAUGAAAAGGAAAUUUUUGGUCAAUGAAGUGUUGAAGAAAUGAAGUGAAGUAUGUUUGGAAGUGACAUAUCAAAAACAGAUCCUCAACUAAAGGUAGCAUCUUUUGGUUAUUCUAGGAAUGUCUAGAGCAUUGGUUGCAGAUUGCUUAAGUAGAGUGGACACAAGAUGGAAGAUAAUUCCACUUCCAUGGAAGGAUAGUCCAAUUUCUCUGUUUGCGUUUUUUUGUCAUGUAACAUUGUGUAGUGCACUAGUGCUGUUAGAACUAUUUUGUAUUUUAUCUCAUACGAUGCAAUAUUAUCUUUAUUUUUUAGCCGUGCUUUCUCUUUCAUUGCCUGAUAGUAUUUCUGAGCUGUGUGUGUGUGUGUGUGUGUGUGUGUGAUGAAUGACUAACAUAGGUUGUGCUUGUCAGCAAUAUUUUUCAUCAAAUGUUGAUGGAUUGCGGUCUCUUUUUAGCUUUCUAAACCCAAACUCUUGCUUUUAAUGGAAACUUUGUUUUGCUUUUGUCACGCUUAUCACUACAUUCUGGGAAAGAUGUUUCUGUUAUGCAAUAGGGGAUAGCAUAACUAUUUUACCUUUCAUUUUGUAGAUUAUGUUAUGCAGGAAAUCUCAAGAGCUGGUUUUGUUGAGCCUACUCCUAUUCAAGCACAAGGCUGGCCAAUGGCAUUGAAAGGUCGUGAUCUUAUUGGCAUCGCUGAAACAGGAUCAGGAAAAACACUUGCGUAUCUCCUACCUGCCAUCGUUCAUGUUAAUGCUCAGCCAUUUUUAGGUACAAACUUGUUGCCUUUCCAUGUCAGACACCAAUCAAAUUUAACUACUUUGCGACUACUUUUUAAAUUCUUCAUCUUGUCUUCUCUUAAGCACCUGGUGAUGGUCCAAUUGUCUUGGUAUUGGCCCCGACCCGUGAACUUGCUGUCCAGAUACAACAGGAGGCAACCAAAUUUGGGGCAUCUUCAAAGAUUAAAAGCACUUGUAUAUAUGGUGGUGUUCCAAAGGGACCUCAAGUUCGUGAUCUCCAGAAAGGUGCUAAUUUCUUGUUGAAUAUUUUACUCUAUUUGCUGUUUCAUUUAAAUUAAUUAGGGCACAUUAUGGCAAUUGUUGAUGCCAACCAUGUCUUAGUAUGAAACAAAAUGGCGACCUUAAAAUAGAGAAAGGACAAUAAUGAUCCCAAAAACACCCGUAGUUUUUCUUUUCUUUAUCAGGGUGUGGUUUUCCAUGCUUACUUCAUAUCCCUUAUUUUUACUGAGAUAGAGGGUAAACUGAAUGAAUUUAAUGGACGGGAUUAUACUUGUCAGGUAAAAAUAUUGUCAUGGCAAUAUUAGGCUAAACUAGAGACCCUUAAUGUUGAUAUUUUCUUUUGAAUAAUGCUUUUGUAUCAGGUGUUGAAAUCGUAAUAGCUACGCCCGGGCGAUUGAUCGAUAUGUUAGAGUCUCAUCAUACAAACUUAAGAAGGGUUACAUAUCUUGUUCUGGAUGAAGCAGAUCGUAUGCUAGACAUGGGGUUUGAACCUCAGAUCAGGAAAAUUGUUUCUCAGGUACACAAGAUUUUCCUCCCCCUUCUGCUGUUGUUCUUAGGAUAUAUUUCAUGACAAAAUAUUUGUAAAUUGAAGACUCUGGAGAUGCUAUGUGUCAUGGCUUUUUUACUCUAGCAACACCUCACAAGUAUGCUCUAUUGAGGUCAGCUGCAGAGCACCCAUACAUGUUUUCCGAUGAUGCAGUUUGUCUUCUUAAUGAUUAAUGUUAUGCUCCCUUCUAAUGGAGUAACAUUAUUAUAUCUAAACCAGUAAAAGGUUAUUACCCAGUCAUGAUUCCCCUAAAAUGAUGUUCUGGGAGGAAGACCAUACUGAGAGUCCUAUCUUCUCAGUGCUUUUGGACAGAAUGGUUGCUCUAAAUUCUAAUGAGUUGAACUUGCAUUACCUCUUCACGUUUUAAUGGCUUACUCCAUAUUAUAUUCACACCAUAAAGUUAUUACCUCAAAAAACGGGAUGAAUAAUUUAUUCUUUAAUUGUCAGAAUUGUCGCGUUUUAGAGAUUUAGUACUUAUCUUCUGGCUUUAUCAUAGGAAAAUUGCUUACAGUUGUUUUUAAUUGUUCACUGCAUUAUAGAUCCGCCCUGAUCGUCAAACUCUCUACUGGAGUGCUACUUGGCCGAAGGAAGUUGAACAGCUAGCAAGGCAGUUCCUCUACAAUCCAUACAAGGUAAAUAUAUCAUGGCCAAGCAAGGCUUUGCAGGUGGGUUCGUUGCAUUAUAUCAUCUUUACCACAUCUGACCCGAUCGGCUCCUGACUGUGGCACAGGUGAUUAUCGGUUCUAUAGACUUGAAAGCUAAUCAUGCUAUUCAUCAGCGUGUAGAGAUUGUAUCAGAGAGUCAGAAAUAUAACAAGUAGGAGUCCCUUAUAACGAUGAUUUGCUAAAGAAGAAUAUUUUUAUGUGUGAUAUUAUAAUAUUUUCCAUUAUUCUUUCCAGAUUGGUGAAGUUGUUGGACGAUAUAAUGGAUGGUAGCCGGAUAUUGAUUUUCAUGGACACCAAGAAGGGAUGCGACCAAAUCACAAGACAGCUGAGGACAGAUGGUUGGCCUGCUUUAUCUAUCCAUGGGGAUAAGAGCCAAGCAGAAAGAGACUGGGUUCUCUCUGAGUUUAAAUCUGGGAAAAGUCCUAUUAUGACAGCUACUGAUGUUGCCGCUCGUGGUUUGGGUAUGUUCGUGGAGGACAUCUUGUUAACUCUUAAGGCCUGUUUGGGAUGGCUGUAGCUUAUAGAGAACUGCUGUUUGGAUAACUAUUUGAAGAAUCACUUAUAUCUUUCCUAUAAAAUCCCUUGUCCGGCUUCUUGCUGCGUCAAAGGCUUUAAGCUGGAGCUUUUGUUUUUGGGCCGAAAAGGUCAUUUUAGCUUCACACCAAAGCAAAAGUUCCAGAUUACUCAUUAGCUAGAUGCAUUGUUUCUGGGAACUCUUACAUUCAUGAAUGUAGAAGCUGAUCAAGAAUCCAUGCCAAAUGGGCACUACAUUAGGAAGUUUAUUAAAUUGCCUUAACUGCUGUUCUUUUUUAUAAAAUAGAUGUGAAAGACGUGAAAUAUGUGAUCAACUAUGAUUUCCCGGGAUCUUUGGAGGACUAUGUUCAUCGUAUUGGUCGUACUGGGAGAGCAGGAGCCAAAGGAACGGCAUAUACCUUCUUCACAGCAGCUAAUGCAAGAUUUGCCAAGGAUCUAAUCAAUAUACUAGAAGAAGCAGGGCAAAAAGUAAGUCCUGAACUGGCUGCAAUGGGUCGCGGUCCCCCACCUCCCUCUUCAGGUUUGUAUUCUAUUACCUCUUAUAUAUUCUUGUUUUUUGGUGCAAUAGCAUUUGGCUGCUUGCUUGCAUCUCGCAUUUUUCUUUUUCUUUUUUUUUUUUUAACCUUUUUAAAAUACCAACAUAUGGUAUUGGAGGAACAUGGAAGAUCCCCAUCACAGCAAAUUAAACUUAAAGACCUCUCACUAGGGAGAGAGGUUACAAACCACAUGGCAAGAAAUACACUGGUCAGCAAUGGAAAAGUGCAUCUUUUCUAGUUGCUAGUGAGUGUUUAUUUUAACUGGACCAUCUAAUCAGUUUGGUUGCUGAUAUUAUUUUGAUCUUUAGGGUCCUGUAUUGUAUAAUUAAAAUGUCGAAGAGAAAUUUUGUAGUAAGCAUAACUUGUGUGAGCAACAGUAAAGUUUAAGUGACUGAUGAACUAUGAGGUGUGAUUUGGUCAUGAAUUUUGAUUGUUCUUCAAGCUAAGAAUUGAUCCAAAGUAGUGUUCCAUUGUUAUGUAACAUUAGGGACUGUUCUGAAUAAUUACUUUUGGACAGGUCAUGGAGGUUUUCGUGAUCGGGGUAGGGGUUUUGGUGGUGGCCGCUCAUGGAAUUGAUUUAUCUACUUCUCGUUCAUUUGGCAUAUUACUGCUAGAAGUGGAGGUGAGUAGACUUUGUUUCUGAGGCCAUGUAAAUCCGGCAUGCACAUUUGGCUUGCUCGGGCUGCAACUAUUAAGCACUCCAGUAAAAUGAACUUUUUGGUAUCAUCCUCUUUCGAGAUAGAUACUGUAGCCUUUCCCAUUAAAGACUAGCAAGCCGUGAUGUGAGGUUAUGUUUUGCCUCCCCCUUAUUUUGUGAAAUACAUUCAACACCCGAAGAAAUAGGCAGUAGCAUAUAUAUAACUGACAGUCUAUUGCGCACUGUUUGAGUUUUUGCGCUGGGAUGUAUUAAUCUCAUAAUCUUAUUAGAAUUAAAUGAGUCUCAUAAUCUUAUUACAAUUAAAUGUUUAAAUAUUAAUGUUGAACCUUGAGAUUUCAUUCUGCAAGUUUAUUUAGUUGAUAUUUUGAGUCUUUGAGUUUUGUUACAUUAGUUCCGACUUCUCUUGAUAAGUGCUUCCAUGACUUUUUACGGUCUUUUGUUGAUCUCUCUCUAAAUUCAUGCUUCUGCCUUCAUACGUUUUUUUUUUUUUUUUUAACCCCUCUUGCAUCCAAGUUGACGUGCAGGAAGUGGAAUUGAUUGCCUUGUAAUACAUAUGAUAGUACUGCUUGUAGUAGCGGCAUCACAGUAACUACUUUGUUCCUCAGGCUUAAUCACAUAGAAUAGAAUCUACCGGAGAAUUUGUUUGUGUGUGGUCCAAAUGUAGAUCCAAAUUGUGGUAGAAAAAAAUUGAAUUGGAGUAAAUGCAUAAUGAGUGUGAGCCUUAUAUAUUACUUUGAUGAUGUUAGUUUCUGGUAUUCCUCUCCUGUUUUUUUCUUUUUUUUCCCUGCUUUUGUUUUCUCUGUCCUUGUACUGUUGCCUUACUUCUCCCCAAGAUAAAUACUAGCCAACAUUAGAUCACGUAGCCUCUAAUUAGUGAUUGCUAGAGACUGACCAAAGAUUUCGAUGUCUCAUCACUCCCAAUUUGUGGACGGAGUAAUAUAAAUUUGCUUCUGGGCUAGCUAUUUAUUAUAUUAGUGCUUAUUAUUGUUCACAAAAAAGAGGCCACUUAUCAUACGUUUGCUGGGCCAAGCAAGAGUUUCUGCAUUGGUUUCUUUGAUUUGUAAUAUUUCGAAAAUACUUUAUAUGCAUUCCAGAAACAGCUUCAAAAGAUUAAAAUCUCCCUAUAAUGCCUUAAUUGUAGUUAAUUUAUAGUUUUCUGUUUGAAACCAACUCUUUUCGCCUUAUGUACAUCUUCUUUUAUUCUUUUUUUUUUUUUCUUUUGUAAAGAUAUAUAUUUCUUAAAGCUAAGUCCCCUGUGAUCUGAUCUUUUCCCUAUGAUAACAUUUCGCAGCCUACUCUGAACCCUAGGACGGCAAAAUUGUAUCCUCAUAAGAGAAUAAAUGGGCCCUUCGCAAACCUUCUCCUCUCUUCAUCUAGCAUCUUUUCUUUUAAUGCCCUAGAGGUGGCCUAACCUUUUCCCAGUGUGCAUGGGACAUUUCCGAUUGAGAGAGUAUCUAUUGGACCCACUCGUCUCUUUGUUUUCCCCCCUUUUCUUUACUGAUCUAUGUAAAACCUAGCGUAGUUUCCCAAACAGGAAGAUACCUUAUGUGAAAAAGGGGAAGGGGAAGUAAAAAAAAAAAAAAAAAAAAAAAAAAAAAGAACCCUCAAGAGACACAACAUAUAGAUGCACUUCGUUGGAAGGACCAUUCACGAAAAGAGGAAGAGGGAGGGUGUGGGCGUGGACCAUUAAAGCACCUAUAUCUGCAGCCCUCCACUAGAUCAAAAAGGAGUCAAAUAUAUGAAUGAUCCAUGUACUGUCCCAAUACAACAGUUUAUUUUCUGCUGCACUUUCAAAUUUAAAUACUUCACGAUCACUCUCCGCGCGCUAUACUUUGGUCUCUAAACAUUCGGAAAAUCAAAUCACACUUUCAAAGUAAGAUAAUAUAUGACCAUACUUGGAAGUAAACUGAGACAACUGAAUCACUACUUAUCUAGAUAGAAAAAGGUAAAACAUGAAUCGCGUUUCCAUAUGGGAAUAGUAGAGGGGAUGUACAUGCAUGUAUAUCUCUACUUGGUUGAGAUCAAGAUCAAGAUCAAGAUCAAGUGUGGGGAUAGGUAGGGCUCCAAACCCACUCAACAAUGAUCUCUGCUAUUACUGAUCUCAGCUCUCCCCCACCCUCCAUGGAAAGGAGUGGGUGGGUCUCUUUCAUAACUCUGCAGUGUGCACUAAUAAUAAGUGGUGAGAGGGAGGGACAUCUUGUGUUGCCACAGUUGGUGUAUGGUCUCAGUCAGGUUUGUGUGGUAAGGGACUGUUGUUAGGUCAUCUGGGCCAGCAUUAGGUGCAAUUUUUCUGUGGACCUGUUCCACCAUAUCAUACUUGCUUUUCUUACAUCUGACCNCCCCAUUUCUCGUUGCUUAAAAGUUUGUCCGGAUGUCUGAAUAAGUCAUUCAGCGGCAACUUUGCACUUCAUUUUAUUUUCUUUCUUUUUUUUUUGUGUGAUUGCGAUUCAGAACUUUUGCUUUCAGUUUAUCAUUAGGCGUGACAAAUCAUAAAGCAUUUCAUUCCGCAUAUGGUGUAAUUUAAAGUUCUUAUAUGUUAUGUUAUCAUACUCAUUUUCAUUCUUUGUAAGGCCACUAAGAAAAUGAAAAUAAAAAUAAAAUAUCGAACUUUGCAUUCGCAAACGAAAUUUCUCGUAACAGAGUACUAAUUAACUACUACUCUAGGUCGAAAAGAUCAAUACAAUACAUAAACUGUUGCCUUAUAAUUGGGACAUCCAAAAACAGCCUUAAUGCAAUUUUCGAAUAAUUUGACUCGUACUAGCUUUUGAUAUUGAUAGGAACACAUUGCAUGAGCCCUCACUCUGCUUUAGUAAUCAGCUUUUGCCUUGUGGGCCCUAAUGAAUGUUGUGAUUCUUAUUCAUUCAGCGUAGGUUUCAUUGAUGACAAAAUGGCUUUUGGAAGAUCACUUGCUGUGUAAAUCGCUUACUCCAAGAUCCCUCCGGAAUUGGUAAGUGAUAUCGACAAGAAAAUUCCCUGAAUGUAAUGAUCUAAAUUAGACCAAUUUUGAGUCCUACGUACUCUCGCAAAAACAAAAGUUUAUGGGACCAUUCUCGCAGUGAGCUUGUUAAAUCUAGCGUCUAUUAUUGUUCGUGAUUCAAGCACCGUAUAUACAGAACUUAUCUGCUGUAUGGACCAUUUUGAGUCAGUUGUCUAAUCCUUCAAAAUUUUAUUUUACGUUAUAACUGACUAAAUCUGUAAAGAUGAACGACGAAUUCAAAUUUUAAGAUUAAAAUACUGUUUACUGACUCAAAUCAAAUAAAUUAAAAUAUUGAAUAGUAAAAUAAAAUUUAUGAAAGAUUGGAUGGUCAACUAAAAAUGAUUCAUAAUUCAAAAACUAGUAUUUACG
rnacentral:lncRNA from 1 species